GGUGAACGCUGGCGGCGUGCUUAAGACAUGCAAGUCGAACGCAGUCUUCGGACUGAGUGGCGCACGGGUGAGUAACACGUAACUGACCUACCCCCAAGUCGCGAAUAACCAGCCGAAAGGAUGGCUAAUACGUGAUGUGAUGAUCCGCUGUGGCGGAUCAUUAAAGACUUGAUCGCUUGGGGAUGGGGUUGCGUUCCAUCAGCUAGUUGGUAAGGUAAAGGCUUACCAAGGCAACGACGGAUAGCCGGCCUGAGAGGGUGGCCGGCCACAGGGGCACUGAGACACGGGUCCCACUCCUACGGGAGGCAGCAGUUAGGAAUCUUCCACAAUGGGCGCAAGCCUGAUGGAGCGACGCCGCGUGAGGGAUGAAGGUUCUCGGAUCGUAAACCUCUGAACCAACGACGAAAGACCCGACAAGGGAGAUGACGGUAGUUGGGUAAUAGCACCGGCUAACUCCGUGCCAGCCGCCGCCGUAA
rnacentral:rRNA from 1 species